GACGAACGCUGGCGGCGCGCCUAACACAUGCAAGUCGAACGAGCGAGAGAGAGCUUGCUUUCUCGAGCGAGUGGCGAACGGGUGAGUAACGCGUGAGGAACCUGCCUCAAAGAGGGGGACAACAGUUGGAAACGACUGCUAAUACCGCAUAAGCCCACGGGUCGGCAUCGACCAGAGGGAAAAGGAGCAAUCCGCUUUGAGAUGGCCUCGCGUCCGAUUAGCUAGUUGGUGAGGUAACGGCCCACCAAGGCAACGAUCGGUAGCCGGACUGAGAGGUUGAACGGCCACAUUGGGACUGAGACACGGCCCAGACUCCUACGGGAGGCAGCAGUGGGGAAUAUUGCACAAUGGGGGAAACCCUGAUGCAGCGACGCCGCGUGGAGGAAGAAGGUCUUCGGAUUGUAAACUCCUGUUGUUGGGGAAGAUAAUGACGGUACCCAACAAGGAAGUGACGGCUAACUACGUG
rnacentral:rRNA from 1 species